UACUUUAUUCUAUCUUUGCCUCACAAAUUAAUGCUGUAAAUGUGUUGAUUUUGCAGUACCUGAAUUGACCUACCAUGUGGGGAGGUCUUCAAAGCCGCAAAAAGAGCUGAAGUCACGAAAAGACCCGAAGUUGAAGUCCUGAAGCCUUGAAAGGACCCAAAGCCAGGAAAGGAAGCGGCUGGGAGGAUUAUCUGCAAAGCUUCUGGAUAAUUUUUGGAGCAGCUGGAUUAUCUUCAAAACAAUUGGGAGGAUUAUCUUCAGAGAUGCAGGGAGGAUUAUUUUCCGAGCGGAUGGGAAAAAUUGUAUUCAGAAGGACUAAGAUGAUUCUCUGCAGAGCGUCUGGGAGGAGUGGUUGGAUUAUCUUCAGAAUGGUUGGAUUAUCUUCAGAGCGGCUAGGAGCAUUACUUUAAGAACAGCUGGAUUACCUUCAGAGCAGCUGGAUUAUCUUCAAUGGAUUAUCUGCAGAAAGAGCGCCACUGCCAACAUGCUGUUUUGACUGCAGAGGAAUAUGCAAAUAAGAAGCUGAAGAAAAGAGAAGGAUAUAGCAGAAGGGAUAGAAGAGAGA